GAUGAACGCUAGCUACAGGCUUAACACAUGCAAGUCGAGGGACCGGCGCACGGGUGAGUAACACGUAUCCACCCUGCCCUUUACUCGGGGAUCUCCUUUCGAUAGAAAGAUUAAUACCCUAUGUUAAGGCUGGGGAUGCGUUCCAUUAGGUUGUUGGUGAGGAAACGGCUCACCAAGCCUUCUAUGGAUAGAGGUUCAUAGAGAAAGGGACCCAGCAGUGGAACGGAGACACGGUCCAAACUGCUACGGGAGGCAGGAGUGAUGAAGAUUGGGCAAUGGGCGUUAGCCUGAACCAGCCAAGUAGCGUGAAGGAUGAAGGCUUAUUGGUCGUAAACUUCUGUGAAAUAAGAAGAUGUAUUAUAUGAAUAAGGAUCGGCUAACUCCGUGCCAGCAGCCGCGGUAAUAC
rnacentral:rRNA from 1 species